GAUGAACGCUGGCGGCGUGCCUAAUACAUGCAAGUCGAGCGAACGGACGAGAAGCUUGCUUUUCUGAUGUUAGCGGCGGACGGGGGAGUAACACGUGGAUAACCUACCUAUAAGACUGGGAUAACUUCGGGAAACCGGAGCUAAUACCGGAUAAUAUUUUGAACCGCAUGGUUCAAACGUGAAAGACGGUCUUGCUGUCACUUAUAGAUGGAUCCGCGCUGCAUUCGCUAGUUGGUAAGGUAACGGGUUACCAAGGCAACGAUGCAUAGCCGACCUGAUAGGGUGUUCGGCCCCACUGGAACUGAGACACGGUCCAGACGCCUACGGGAGGCAGCAGUAGGGAAUCUUCCGCAAUGGGCGAAAGCCUGACGGAGCAACGCCGCGUGAGUUAUGAAGGUCUUCGGGUCGUAAAACUCUGUUAUUAGGGAAGAACAUAUGUGUAAGUAACUGUGCACAUCUUGACGGUACCUAAUCAGAAAGCCACGGCUAACUACGUG
rnacentral:rRNA from 1 species